rnacentral:rRNA from 1 species
UACAGAGGGUGCAAGCGUUGUCCGGAUUUACUGGGCGUAAAGAGCGCGCAGGCGGUCGUUCAAGUCGCGUGUGAAAGCCCCCGGCUCAACUGGGGAGGGUCACGCGAUACUGAUCGACUCGAAGGCAGGAGAGGGUAGUGGAAUUCCCGGUGUAGUGGUGAAAUGCGUAGAUAUCGGGAGGAACACCAGUGGCGAAGGCGACUACCUGGCCUGUUCUUGACGCUGAGGCGCGAAAGCUAGGGGAGCAAACGGG